rnacentral:lncRNA from 1 species
UGGAGCCCCGAGGCCAAGGCCAGAUGCCAUGUUGCAAGAUUUCCUCUGGAGAGGGCCUCUUGGCAAGGAACUGAUGUCUCUGGCCAGCAGCCAGCGAGGACCUAAGAUCUGUCAACAGCCAUGCAGAAGGGACAAUGAAUUGUGACUCGGAAAUUAAUCAGAUGAGACCUGAUGACUGAAGUACAUCACAGAGCUAGGAAGAGAGAUUACUAAGCAACACGGUGAGAGCUCCAUCCUCUGGGUAUUCAGCCAACUACAGAUCACUCAAAGGCAGACAUUCUGGGAUCUUCCAUCCAUCAAGCUGAACCAGAGUACAAGGCCAAAACCAGUGAAUGACAAAGCAACCCCAUGCCCAGCUUAAGAGUUUCCUCAGAGAGUUUGUCUUGUAGGAGUCAUUAGACACUAAUUUGAUUCUAUUUGCAUGUGCACACCCUGCCCUUUGCCAAACAGGGAGAGAAUCACACUUGAGAGCUAGCGCUCAGCUCAGUCUCUUCUCCACACCACGCUAGUGCACCAAGAACAAGGUUAUAGGUGUGGCAAAAAAACAAACCCUGCCAAUGCUCUAAGUAUAUGUUUGAUGUAAUCUUAUUUCUCAUAAAAUUAAGAGGAUAAUAUUUUUAGGUGAUGCAGAGUAUGAGACUGUCAUUAGGUUACUCUGAAUCUCUUUCUCUCUCUCUCUUCAUGGUAAAAAUUAAGUUCCAUUAGGAAAAUUCUUCCUCCCCUUCCUUCCUCCCAUUGGUCUUUCCUCCUAAGAUCCAGGUAGCUCUGAGAAAGUUUGUUUCAUCUAUGCGUUGGCCUGGGAAUCCUCCUCUUGUUAAUCUACACAAAUAAAAUCAUCUUAAAGAUCGAAA